GCGAAAAUAGCUCAGCAGGUAGAGCGCAACCUUGCCAAGGUUGAGGUCGCGGGUUCGAACCCCGUUUUUCGCU
rnacentral:tRNA from 1 species